rnacentral:rRNA from 1 species
AUUGAACGCUGGCGGCAGGCUUAACACAUGCAAGUCGAGCGGAGAGAGGUAGCUUGCUACCGAUCUUAGCGGCGGACGGGUGAGUAAUGCUUAGGAAUCUGCCUAUUAGUGGGGGACAACAUUUCGAAAGGAAUGCUAAUACCGCAUACGUCCUACGGGAGAAAGCAGGGGAUCUUCGGACCUUGCGCUAAUAGAUGAGCCUAAGUCGGAUUAGCUAGUUGGUGGGGUAAAGGCCUACCAAGGCGACGAUCUGUAGCGGGUCUGAGAGGAUGAGACGCCACACUGGGACUGAGACAGGGCCCAGACUCCUACGGGAGGCAGCAGUGGGGAAUAUUGGACAAUGGGCGCAAGCCUGAUCCAGCCAUGCCGCGUGUGUGAAGAAGGCCUUAUGGUUGUAAAGCACUUUAAGCGAGGAGGAGGCUACUUUAGUUAAUACCUAGAGAUAGUGGACGUUACUCGCAGAAUAAGCACCGGCUAACUCUGUGCCAGCCGCCGCCGUAACAC